rnacentral:misc_RNA from 1 species
CAGAGUUGAAAAACUCCCCUAACCCUUUGUUUACAUACCUGUUCAGUUGCUUCGGCAGGCGGCCCCAGGGCGGGGCCUCCAGCCUGCUCACGCAGGUGCCUGCCGCUGGCGCAAAAAAACUCUUGUUAUAUAUUACCACUCUGAGUCUAAAAACAAAUGAAUCA